UACGUAGGUGGCAAGCGUUGUCCGGAUUUACUGGGCGUAAAGAGCGCGCAGGCGGUCGUUCAAGUCGCGUGUGAAAGCCCCCGGCUCAACUGGGGAGGGUCACGCGAUACUGAUCGACUCGAAGGCAGGAGAGGGAAGUGGAAUUCCCGGUGUAGUGGUGAAAUGCGUAGAUAUCGGGAGGAACACCAGUGGCGAAGGCGCUCUACUGGACCGCAACUGACACUCAGGGACGAAAGCUAGGGGAGCGAAUGGG
rnacentral:rRNA from 1 species